rnacentral:rRNA from 1 species
UGGGGAAUAUUGGACAAUGGGGGAAACCCUGAUCCAGCGACGCCGCGUGUGUGAAGAAGGCCUGCGGGUUGUAAAGCACUUUCGGUGGGAACGAAAUAUGCCGGGCUAAUACCCCGGUAGGCUGACGUUACCCAAUGAAGAAGCACCGGCUAACUCUGUGCCAGCAGCCGCGGUAAUACAGAGGGUGCGAGCGUUAAUCGGAAUUACUGGGCGUAAAGCGCACGCAGGCGGCAUCGUAAGUCGGAUGUGA